UAGGUGGGAGGCGUUGAAUUUAUUCUUGCGGGAAUUUAGGAGCCAUCAGUGAGAUACCACUCUGGUAAUGUUAGAUUUCUAACUUUGUAUCAUAAUCUGGUCAAAGGACAGUUUCAGGCGGGCAGUUUGACUGGGGCGGUCGCCUCCUAAAUGGUAACGGAGGCGUACAAAGGUUUCCUCUGAACGUGUAGAAAUCGUAUCUAGAGUAUAAAGGCAUAAGGAAGCUUGACUGUGAGACUUACAAGUCGAGCAGGGACGAAAGUCGGUCUUAGUGAUCUGACGGUGCUGAGUGGAAAGGCCGUCACUCAACGGAUAAAAGUUA
rnacentral:rRNA from 1 species